UACGUAGGGGGCAAGCGUUGUCCGGAUUUAUUGGGCGUAAAGAGCGUGUAGGCGGCCAUGCAGGUCAGCUGUGAAAACUCGAGGCUCAACCUCGAGACGUCGGUUGAAACCGUAUGGCUAGAGUCCGGAAGAGGAGAGUGGAAUUCCCGGUGUAGCGGUGAAAUGCGCAGAUAUCGGGAAGAACACCCGUGGCGAAGGCGGCUCUCUGGGACGGUACUGACGCUGAGACGCGAAAGCGUGGGGAUCGAACAGG
rnacentral:rRNA from 1 species